UCUUGGCCAGCCUUCUGAAAGGAAGAUUAAUCCAGGAUGGCAUCAUGAGUUCACAUGUCCGCAUGAUUAAAGGUAUUUUCCGGUAGACGAUGGGGAUGCGUUCCAUUAGAUAGUAGGCGGGGUAACGGCCCACCUAGUCAACGAUGGAUAGGGGUUCUGAGAGGAAGGUCCCCCACAUUGGAACUGAGACACGGUCCAAACUCCUACGGGAGGCAGCAGUGAGGAAUAUUGGUCAAUGGGCGAUGGCCUGAACCAGCCAAGUAGCGUGAAGGAUGACUGCCCUAUGGGUUGUAAACUUCUUUUAUAAAGGAAUAAAGUCGGGUAUGCAUACCCGUUUGCAUGUACUUUAUGAAUAAGGAUCGGCUAACUCCGUGCCAGCAGCCGCGGUAAUACGGAGGAUCCGAGCGUUAUCCGGAUUUAUUGGGUUUAAAGGGAGCGUAGAUGGAUGUUUAAGUCAGUUGUGAAAGUUUGCGGCUCAACCGUAAAAUUGCAGUUGAUACUGGAUGUCUUGAGUGCAGUUGAGGCAGGCGGAAUUCGUGGUGUAGCGGUGAAAUGCUUAGAUAUCACGAAGAACUCCGAUUGCGAAGGCAGCCUGCUAAGCUGCAACUGACAUUGAGGCUCGAAAGUGUGGGUAUCAAACAGGAUUAGAUACCCUGGUAGUCCACACGGUAAACGAUGAAUACUCGCUGUUUGCGAUAUACGGCAAGCGGCCAAGCGAAAGCGUUAAGUAUUCCACCUGGGGAGUACGCCGGCAACGGUGAAACUCAAAGGAAUCGACGGGGGCCCGCACAAGCGGAGGAACAUGUGGUUUAAUUCGAUGAUACGCGAGGAACCUUACCCGGGCUUAAAUUGCACUCGAAUGAUCCGGAAACGGUUCAGCUAGCAAUAGCGAGUGUGAAGGUGCUGCAUGGUUGUCGUCAGCUCGUGCCGUGAGGUGUCGGCUUAAGUGCCAUAACGAGCGCAACCCUUGUUGUCAGUUACUAACAGGUGAUGCUGA
rnacentral:rRNA from 1 species